UCUCGUUGGUGACCAGCGGAGGGUCAUUACAGAGUUGCAAAACUCCCCUAAACCAUUGUGAACCUACCACUAAACAGUUGCUUCGGCGGGUGGCGCGAGGGCUCCUUCACUGGGGCCGGAGCGCCCUAGACAGCCCGCCGGAGGUACUCAAACUCUUUGUUUAAUUAAGGCCUCUCUGAGUAUUGUACUUAAAUAAGUCAAAACUUUCAACAACGGAUCUCUUGGUUCUGGCAUCGAUGAAGAACGCAGCGAAAUGCGAUAAGUAAUGUGAAUUGCAGAAUUCAGUGAAUCAUCGAAUCUUUGAACGCACAUUGCGCCCGCCAGUAUUCUGGCGGGCAUGCCUGUUCGAGCGUCAUUUCAACCAUCAAGCCCCGGCGCUUGUGUUGGGGACCCGCGGCUGCCGCGGGCCCUUAAAGACAGUGGCGGUCUCGCUGCAGCACCGAGCGUAGUAACAUACAUCUCGCUCCGGGAGCUGCGCGCGCACCCGCCGUAAAACACCCCACCUCUCACAAGGUUGACCUCGGAUCAGGUAGGAAUACCCGCUGAACUUAAGCAUAUCAAUAAGCGGAGGAAAAGAAACCAACAGGGAUUGCCCUAGUAACGGCGAGUGAAGCGGCAACAGCUCAAAUUUGAAAUCUGGCUUCGGCCCGAGUUGUAAUUUGUAGAGGAAGCUUUUGGCAAGGCACCGACUGAGUCCCCUGGAACGGGGCGCCAUAGAGGGUGAGAGCCCCGUAUAGUCGGACGCCGAGCCUCUGUAAAGCUCCUUCGACGAGUCGAGUAGUUUGGGAAUGCUGCUCUAAAUGGGAGGUAAAUUUCUUCUAAAGCUAAAUAUUGGCCAGAGACCGAUAGCGCACAAGUAGAGUGAUCGAAAGAUGAAAAGCACUUUGAAAAGAGGGUUAAAUAGCACGUGAAAUUGUUGAAAGGGAAGCGCUUGUGACCAGACUUGCGCCUGGCCGAUCAUCCGGGGUUCUCCCCGGUGCACUCGGCCAGGCUCAGGCCAGCAUCGGUUCUCUCGGGGGGACAAAGGUCCCGGGAACGUAGCUCCCUCCGGGGAGUGUUAUAGCCCGGGGCGUAAUGCCCUCGAGGGGACCGAGGACCGCGCUCGGCAAGGAUGCGCG
rnacentral:rRNA from 1 species